rnacentral:rRNA from 1 species
GAUGAACGCUGGCGGCGUGCCUAAUACAUGCAAGUCGAGCGAACGGACGAGAAGCUUGCUUCUCUGAUGUUAGCGGCGGACGGGUGAGUAACACGUGGAUAACCUACCUAUAAGACUGGGAUAACUUCGGGAAACCGGAGCUAAUACCGGAUAAUAUUUUGAACCGCAUGGUUCAAAAGUGAAAGACGGUCUUGCUGUCACUUAUAGAUGGAUCCGCGCUGCAUUAGCUAGUUGGUAACGUAACGGCUUACCAAGGCAACGAUGCAUAGCCGACCUGAGAGGGUGAUCGGCCACACUGGAACUGAGACACGGUCCAGACUCCUACGGGAGGCAGCAGUAGGGAAUCUUCCGCAAUGGGCGAAAGCCUGACGGAGCAACGCCGCGUGAGUGAUGAAGGUCUUCGGAUCGUAAAACUCUGUUAUUAGGGAAGAACAUAUGUGUAAGUAACUGUGCACAUCUUGACGGUACCUAAUCAGAAAGCCACGGCUAACUACGUG